UUAUGACACGCUGGGUGGGAUCAGAGUCCUGUGAGCUGGGAAAAGAGAUAUAUGCUUGAUAGUAUAUACCUUUCUGGCUGGAGGAUGACUCAGAUAUAUAUGAAUGAUAGUAUGUACCUUUCUGGCUGGAGGCUGACUCACAUGUAUAUGAAUGAUAGUAUGUACCUUUCUGGCUGGAGGCUGACUCAGAUGUAUAUGAAUGAUGAUAUGUACCUUUCUGGUUGGAGGGUGACUAAGUGGAUAGCACUGCAGCCUCAGUGUCAGAGCUACCGGAUCGAUUCCCAGUUUUGUAUAUAAACUGCCAUUUCUAUCACAGGCAAAAAACCUGUGAUGUCUUCAUCUCCUACCUGUCUUGUGCGCCCUUGCUCUGGAUGUUCUUCGCACCAGAGCUGCACAAGUAGGGGUACGCGAUGCAUGCUAACCGCUUCUAAACCUCCCGUUAGAACGAUCUGAAAAAGGUUCAUAAUUCUGUCUUGACCUGGCUGCCCAUUCUUCUCUGCUAAAGGCUUUACAAUAGUUUACAAUCUCUCCAUUGGCUGAUCAGCUAUCUUUUGCGAUGUCCAAUAUAUGGAACCAAAUUAUGAUGUAAAGUGUGCUGGUGACAGGGGCACUGUAAAGGGGGAGUGGAGUUAGGAUGAUUCUAAGGGCCCCUGAGUGACAGAGGCUCUAAAGAAGUUGGAAGAUAAUAGGGUUGGUCUGGGUUUGAGGCCUAAUGUGAUAUGCUUUCAUGGGGCCCGAAAUCUCAAGUGGCGCCCCUAGCUGGUGAUGAAACAGUUACACACUAUAUUUUUACUAAUUUAAUUUCAGAUUUAAACUUUAUUUAUUGGUCAGGUUUGUAUGGUUGUUACCCAUGUUAUUAUGAUUGUUUGGGUUUCCUGCUGCAGUCCAAAAACGUGGCUGUUGAGCUAAUCCCAGAUGCCUCAGAGCACAUGGCCGGAUCACAUGAGGGAUGGGAUGUCAGUCCUUCUCGGGCUACAAUCGCAAUCACACACAAGGGCAGCUUUGUGACACUGUUGGGCCUAAAUGCAUGUCUCUGGAGCCAAAGGAAACUCACCAAAGAGGGGAAGAGCAUCCAAACACUGCACACGCCCCCAACCCUAGAGGUGUGCUGGCUAUUGGGCAAUGCUGCUGUCAUUCUAUGUAACAGAAAAGGGGGAAUGCUCUCUGUUAUUCUUUCUGCAACAUCUGUACCGUGAGUGAAGGUCAUUAAACGGUGUCAUUAAACGGUGUCAUUUUCCUAUGUGGGUCUGUUAUGAAACAGCAGAACUAUAUACGCCGCUUGGAAAGCACCGUGACUACCGCUGUUUCCACGGAAGAGAGAGGUGGGGUCGGCUAGGACCCGAAAAUUAUAAAGUAACCAGAAACUUCCGCUUUAAACUAAAGAUUUCAGCGAAGUAAUUGCAAAGCCAGCAAGUUACGGGUGUCUGUUAUAGUCCAAGAAAGAGCGUCGAAUUUCAAAUAAACGUCGUGCAUCCCACUGGAAAGAUACAUGAGUCUCCCACUUAAGGUGCUGGUUAUCGCCACAUUGGUGUCCGUGUUUGCGACACUGCUGGCGAUGAUCGACUCGGUGGGGGGGUUAAUGUAUGUGCGAAGCACUUCGGAAGGCAUCCUGCGGCAGACAGCGGAAUCAGCCGGGCAUCCCUGCGUGAUACAGUGGCAUGGGGAGCCGAAGACGCGCUCUGGGCGGAGUGCGGGGGACUCGCAGAUGUAAUAUGAGCGUGAACUAUGGAUCUUUUCGAGAAAGUGGAAUUUCACAGCUUCAUAUGCCACUGGACGGUGAUCGCGACAAUAGAUUUUUGGGAUAUUAAAAACUUUACGUAAUAACUGCAUAAUGUUUAGCUCAGUCCGAUUCUUGACUAAGGGAAGUCGCCAAAUAGUGGAAUUAUGAAAAGUAAACUUUCUGUAAGCCGAAGAUAUUGCAUUAAUAAAAUAUAAUUGAUCUAUCUGAUACUGUUAAAACUACUGAGACUACUGUGAUUAAAUAUAAUGUAAAUAACCCCCCGAUUUAUGAACUUAAUGACAAAUACAAAAACUAUACCAUGAA